rnacentral:misc_RNA from 1 species
AACGCACCUUGCGCCCCUUGGUAUUCCGAGGGGCAUGCCUGUUUGAGUGUCUUGAAAUCAUCAAACCUAACCGGUCUUUGUUGGCCGGCGCGGUUUGGACUUGGGGGCUUCCUUGCUGCCGCUCGCGGUGGCUCCCCUUAAAUUCAUCGGUCGGGCUUUCGUGCGGCUCUGUCCCUUGGCGUUGUAUUACCCUCGUCGCUGGAUGGCUCGCGAUACUGCGCCCUUCUUUGACCUGCCUCUGGAGCGGCGGUCUUCAACUUUUGUGAUCUGACCUCAAAUCAGGUAGGACUACCCGCUGAACUUAA